rnacentral:lncRNA from 1 species
UUUAUUUUUUUUUUCUUAAACUUCAUAUCCAAUCAAACACUAUCACAUAAAAUGGAUGGAGGGAGUACUAAAUUUUGUCUAAAUUUGCUGAUUAUUUUUCUUAAAUUUUCUGAAUUUUUUGUUGAAUUGAUCACGUUAAUUAAUGUCACUAUUAGAAAUGACAUGAUGAAGAGUUCCUAAGAGAUGAUUGUGAUCAAUACUUUAAAAUCUCUUUGGAUGAUGUUAGGACUCAAAGAGGUAAUUUGAAGAAAUUUUUAUGAAAUAGAGAUUGUUUAUCUUGUUAAGGUUUGCGAAGUGAAAAAUUGGAGGAGAAAGUUCAUUGUAUAGGGUCAAAAUCGGGCCUACCCAAUUUUGCUAUUUGAUCGAGACAAGAGAGUUGCAUCAGGAGUAGCCUCGUAAUAAAUCGGACCAGGGCUCGAAGAUGAGAUAUCAAGCCUAGAGAUCGAAGUGUACGUUGAGAUCGAGGCCAGCAACAAUCGAGAUCAAGUAUUGACCGACUUCGAGGGGAGCAUAAUAACUGAAUGACGAGAUAUCAGUAACCGGUCGAAGAUCACGGCGUGAAUCUCGGAACGGAUAUCCGUGAUCGGUCGAGGAUCAUGGCGUGAAUUUCGGAAUGGACCAAAUUAGAAGUGGAUAACUAGUUGUUUUUAUGGUUUCCUUCUCUAAUGAGAGACAUACCAUAAUUAGGUCUCCUCUACUAUGUAAAGAGGAGGUCCAAUCAUUUGUAGGCAUCAUUAUUCACUGAUAAGAAUAUACACAUACGAUGUACGCUGUUUUCUUUGUUCAUCACUAUUCAUCGUUGUUUGUUCUAUCCUAUAUUGUUCUUAUUAAUUAACCUCGAGGCUACUUCGAAUCGAGGUCGAGGCAUCGCUUGUAGACCGGUUUGUUUUAUUUUAUUGUCCAAGUUAUCUAUUUAAUUCGUUAUUUUUCAAUUGGUGCUAGUCUAAAUGACAUAUCCUUAAAAUCACAAUACAAGUUUAAUUGUUACUCAAUUUUUAGGGGAAACAGUUUAGCGCCCACCGUGGGGCUAAGGAUAAUAGUGAUUGUUCAGUACUGAUUCUGGUAAAACACACUAUUUUACGCUUGUUCUUGUCAAGUAUCUUUGCUUUCAGGUUAAAAUAUGUCAAACUCACAAAACGCAUCCACACACGGUGACAAUGGCCUCAGAUUCUAUGGUGAAAACAAAAAUGUGAUUGCUCCAUGAGUCGAGGUGCCACAGGUUAAUCUCGGGGAAGCACCGGCUGCCAACCCAGUCGAUGUCAGUUCGCACGUUGCACUAAAUAUGGACCUAGGCACAAGUCUCGAUGGAAGCGUACGCAGAGAAGGCCAAACUAGUGACCAAGGAACACAUGGAAGAGUAGACGAAGGAGUCAGUCUCCAAGUGAUAUUCGAGAUGCUUCAGGCUCAGCAGGCCGCUAUUGCUCAGUUACAAAAUCAACAUAGGACUCCAAAUAGGGUCGAGCCGAAAAUUACUCGCCGUACCGAGCCAGUACCGGAAAGGUCGAAUGGUAACGAAAUGGGGACUGGUCCUGCGGUAAUAAAAAUGUUCGAGGAGCUCACCAAAAAAAUUGAAUUAGGAAAAAGGAGAAUCGAAGCCAACGAUAAAAAAGUGGAGACAUACAACUCUCGAGUUGACCAGAUACCGGGGGCACCGCCAAUCUUGAGAGAGAUGGAUUCGAAGAAGUUUAUACAAAAGCCGUUUCCUCUAAGUGCGGCUCCGAAGCCUAUUCCAAAGAAGUUUUGUAUGCCAGACAUACCCAAAUAUAAUGGGACCACCGAUCCCAACGAGCAUAUUACUUCAUAUACAUGCGCCAUCAAGGGUAACGACUUAGAAGAUGAUGAAAUCGAAUAUGUGCUGUUGAAAAAAUUUGGAGAAAUCCUUUCGAAGGGAGCAAUGAUUUGGUAUCACAACCUAUCACCAAAUUCCAUUGACUCAUUUGCCAUGUUAGCAGAUUCUUUCGUAAAGGUACACGUCGGAGCCAUAAAGGUCGCAACGAGGAAAUAAGACCUUUUCAAGGUAAGACAAAGGGAUAAUGAAAUGAUGAGGGAGUUCAUGUCCCGAUUUUAAAUGGAACGCAUGGAGUUGCCACCGGUUACAGAUGAUUGGGCCGUUCAAGCUUUCACCCAAGGGUUGAAUGAGCAGAGUUCAAUAGCAUCACAUCAGUUGAAACAAAAUUUGAUCGAGUAUCCAGCUGUAACUUGGGCAGAUAUGCACAAUCGAUAUCAAUCGAAGAUCAGGGUCGAGGACGACCAAUUAGGAGCCCCUUCCGGUUCAGUACAUGAACCCGAGAUUAUGUGCCCGAAGGCACUUUAUCAUUCAACGACGAAGAAACAGAAGGCAUUUCUCAGCCCCACAAUGACGCUCUGGUAAUUUCUAUCUUAUUAAAUAAAGUUCAAGUUAAGCGUGUUUUAGUGGAUCCAGGUAGCUCGGCGAAUAUCAUCCGAUCGAGGGUUGUGGAGCAGCUCGGCCUACUAAAUCAAAUCGUGCCCGCAGCUCGGGUUUUAAUCGGCUUCAAUAUAGCUAGUGAAACAACUAAAGGGGAGAUUAUUCUACCGGUGAACGUGGCUGGAACCAUUCAAGAUACCAAGUUCCACGUACUCGAGGGCGACAUGAGGUACAAUACCCUACUCGGAAGGCCUUGGAUCCACAAUAUGAGGGCAGUUCCUUCGACUCUUCACCAAAUGAUGAAAUUCCCGACGUCGGCCGGUGUAAAAACAGUAUACGGGGAGCAGCAUGCUGCAAAGGAAAUGUUUACGAUCGAUGAGGUAAUGCCGAUAUCGACACUAUUAACCUCAAAAAGGUCAAGCAUUAAAGGUAAACAAGAAGUCAAAUAGCAAUCACAGCCACCAGCCUCGACCGAAUCAGGGAAGCAGGACAUAGAAGAAGAAGAGGAGGAUUUUCUUACCCCUCGAACUUUUAUUGUUCCCGAAGAUUCUAACGCCACCAAAUCAACGGGAUUUAAACAAGGCGUGCCCCAAAUAUUCUUUUCCACUGCCUAACAUCGAUUGCAUGAUCGAUGCCAUGACCGUCCACGAGAUCCUUACUUUUCUCGAUGCCUAUUCUGGGUACAAUCAAAUCCAAAUGAAUUUGGUUAAUGUAAUGCCCUUCGGGCUAAAAAAUGCAGGAUCUACUUACCAACGCCUAGUAAAUGAGAUGUUCGAAGAACAAAUAGGUAAAUCAAUGGAAGUUUAUAUUGAUGACAUGUUAGUUAAGUCCCUGCGCACAAAGGACAAUUUGGCUCAUUUGCAGGAAACGUUCGAGAUUUUAAGGAAAUACAACAUGAAGCUCAACCCCAAGAAAUGUGCCUUCGGGGUUGGUUCGGGCAAGUUCCUUGGCUUCAUGGUAUCGAAUGGGGGGAUCGAGAUCAACCCCGAUAAAAUCAAGGACAUCGAAGACAUCACCAUUAUGGACAGUGUAAAAGCCAUGCAGAGGCUAACUGGACGGAUAACUACCUUAGGCCGAUUCAUUUCGAUGUCGUCGGAUCGAAGCCACAGAUUUUUCUCUCUGCUAAAAAAGAAGAACGAUUUUGCCUGGACCCUAGGAUGUCAACACACGUUAGAGGAAUUAAAGUGAUACCUAUCGAGCCUACCACCGCUUCAUACUCCAAAGGCAGAUGAGAAACUUUACUUGUACUUGGCAGUAUCGAAAAUUGCGGUAAGUGGUGUCCUAGUUCGAGAAGAGCAAGGUACGCAAUUUUCCAUUUAUUAUGUAAGUCGAACCUUAAGAUAAGCAGAAACUAGAUACCCACACUUAGAGAAAUUGGCACUUGCACUGAUAAGCGCCUCUAGAAAGUUAAGACCAUACUUUCAAUGUCACCCCAUAUAUGUAUUAACCACUUACCCACUUCGUAAUAUUUUGCACAAGCACGAACUAUCGGGAUGAUUGGCCAAAUGGGCCAUCGAACUCAGUGGGUACGAUAUCGAAUAUCAACCCCAUACGGCCAUCAAGUCUCAAAUUUUAGCGGAUUUCAUGGCCGACUUCACGCUAGCCCUCGUACCCGAAGUCGAAAAGGAACUAUUGUUAAAAUCGGGUACAUCAUCGGGGGUAUGGACCCUUUUCACAGAUGGUGCUUCGAAUGUGAAGGGGUCCGGGCUAGGCAUCGUUUUGAAGCCGCCCACAGGUAGCACUAUUAGGCAAUCUAUCAAAACUUCUAAGUUGACUAACAAUGAGGCCGAGUACGAGGCCAUGAUUGCAGGUCUCGAGCUAGCUAAAAGCUUGGGAGAAGAAUUUAUUGAAGCCAAGUGUGACUCUUUACUGGUAGGGAACCAAGUAAAUAAAACCUUUGAAGUUUGAGAGGAUAGAAUGCAAAGGUAUUUGGACAAGUUGCAGGUAACCUUGCACCGUUUCAAGGAAUGAACUUUACAGCAUGUACCUCGAGAACAAAACAGUGAGGCCGAUGCACUUGCAAAUCUAGGGUCAUCGGUCGAGGAAGAUGAGAUCAGCUCGGGGACUGUCAUUCAACUCUCGAGAUCCGUGAUCGAGGAAGGUCAUGCCGAGAUAAACUCUACAAGCUUAACCUGGGAUUGAAGGAAUAAAUGUAUUGAAUACUUGAAGAACGGAAAGCUCCCAUCGGCCCCUAAAGAGUCGAGGGCCCUACGAACCAAAGCUGCUCGAUUCACAUUGGCUGAAGAUGGAAUAUUAUAGAGAAGGACAUUCAAUGGACCAUUGGCAGUGUGCUUAGGACCAGGGGACACCGAUUAUGUUCUACAAGAAGUCCAUGAAGGAACUUGUGGGAACCACUCCGGCGCCGAAUCACUGAUUCACAAAAUCAUCAGAGCAAAAAUACUACUGGGAUAGCAUGGAAAAAGACACUAAGGAGUUUGUUCGAAAAUGUGAUAAAUGUCAAAGGUUUGCACCGAUGAUCCAUCAGCCCAGAGAACAACUUCAUUCAGUCCUAUCCCUAUGGCCGUUCAUGAAAUGGAGAAUGGAUAUCGUCGGCCUUCUGCCUUCGGCCCCAGGUAAAGCUAAGUUCAUUUUAUUUAUGACUGACUAUUUCUCUAAAUGGGUUGAAGCACAGGCAUUCGAGAAAGUGAGAGAGAAAGAGGUCAUAUACUUCAUCUGGGAUCAUAUCAUAUGUCGAUUUGGGAUACCCCCCGAAAUAGUGUGUGACAAUGGAAAAUAAUUUAUCGGCAGCAAAGUGACAAAAUUCCUUGAAGACCACAAAAUAAAAAGGAUGUUAUCAAUACCAUAUCACCUUAGUAGGAACAGACAGGCCGAAUCGACGAACAAGACUAUCAUUCAAAACCUAAAGAAAAGGUUGAACGACGCUAAGGGGAAAUGGAGAGAACUUCUACCCGAAGUUCUCUGGACAUAUCGAACAACAUCAAAGUCUAGUACGGGAGCAACCCCGUUCUCCUUAAUAUAUGGCUCCGAAGCCUUGAUUCUGAUCGAAGUCGGGGAACCCAGCGCCAGGUUUCGACAUACAACAGAAGAGUCAAAACACGAGGCUAUGAAUACUAGCCUCGAAUUAUUAGAUAAAAAAUGAGAUGCCGCACUCAUUCGAAUGGCUGCACAAAAGCAACGAAUCGAAAGAUAUUACAAUAGGAGAACCAACCUUCACCACUUCAGAGUCGGGGACUUAGUCCUGAGAAAAGUCACCAUCAACACUCGGGAUCCUAAUGAAGGGAAGCUCGGCCCAAAUUGGGAAGGACCCUACCAAGUCCUCGACAUUGUCGGAAAGGGAUCUUAUAAGCUCGGCACGAUGGACGACAAACAACUGCCAAAUAAUUAGAACAUAUCUCUUUUCAAACGGUAUUAUUGCUAAGGUAUGACUUUAUUCCCUUUUUUCAUUUAUAUAUUCGACACUAACUCACUGCAAACGAUCGAUCGAAGAUAUCGAAACCUCAGAUUUUAAAGUACGCGUUGCACUCUUUUUCCCUUAGAUCGGUUUUUGUCCCAAGUAGGUUUUUCUGGCGAGGUUUUUAAUGAGGCAACAAUUAUGUGCUACCUGAGGACAAUUCAACAUUAUCCAAGGCUUCUUUAUAAUCAACCUCGAAUAUUAGGGGGGCAUCACUCUAGGAUGUUACACUUUCGAGGAAAAUACUUCGUGUCAAAGGGUUUCGAUAGAAAAUUUUUGUAAUGGGCCAAACGGUCGAAUGAACCGUGUCCGUAUAGAUUAGUCAAGCCCCGAUGGCAAAACAUGUACGCAUGUAUAAAUUAUACAAAGAAGCAUUCUUUUUGUAUUAAAGAUCUUGUAUCUUGAAGAAACGUUUCUACUAUACAAGCUCCAUACUUAUGAUUUUGUGAGAAAUGGCUCAAGGGCCAAGUGCAAAUAUACCUCGUAUACUCGGGGACUACCGUAGACGAUCGACAAAUUCGAGUAAUCUAACCUCGAAUUCAUAAGACCUCAAAGAGGCACCCCUCAAUUUAUAGGCCAAAGCUAUCAUUCUCGGGCACUAACACUUCGAUAAGCCCAGGAGGCAUACCCAAAGGCUACAACCAAAUUAAGGCGGCUUGGAGACGUUCGAAUCCCGCGAUAAAAAUAGGCCUUUGAAUUCUUUGAAAAAUCGGUUAAAAAAGGGCUACCCUCGGCAAGUAAUCAAAAGGGUUUCGAUAAAAUUAGCUCUCGAAAAACUUUAAGAGGUAUCAAAUUAUCUUAACACAAACGUGCUGAGGCAUAAAAAGCAAAGGAGUUUCGAUCAACAUCAAACCCUCAAAAAACCCAAUGGGUAAAGAAUACAUGUUAAGGCAUAAAGAAAUUUUUUACUAAGUCUACUAAGCCGAAAAAGGGAAAAAAAUAGCCAUUUUUUAGAGGCCAUAUCGGCCCAAUCUAAAUAGCCUAAGGGCCAAUACACUUAGAGUUAGAUAUUUUGUUCUCACUCAAUUCGGACCUAAGGGUUCCACUAUUCCGAGCUCAAAUAAAAUUGACUUGAACAUAGCUCGAGGAUUCAUCAUUAUUUGAUAUAAAAUCUUAAGGGGUCUGUUACUGUGAGUUCGAAACUCACUCAAACUCAGCUAUAAAAAAUCGUAUAAUUACGGCUCCGAUCAAACCAUCCAAAAUCAAAACCCCGAGCAUAUUGUUGAGCUCGGGAACUCUCCCUCGUUUAACUAAAAAAUCCUAGGGUUUGUUUAACUCCGAGUUCGAGUUAUCGCUCACUCGAUUGUAGAGGCUAUAGCACCUGAUUGCAAUAGAGUCUUCACAAGGAAAAGGUAAAAUAGAAUUUAUCAUAAGUCAAAAAUCGGGUAGAAAGGAAUCUUUUAUAUAUGCAAAGUAUUUAUUAAGACCACAUAGGGUCUUACACAAAAAACAAAAGAAGAAAAAAAAAUCCUAAGUGUUUAGUCCGCCUGGGGAGCCACAUCUUCGGGAGCAUCAUCUUCAUCUCUUCCACUCUCGGAUCCAGUCGCAGAGUCUUCAUCAUCGGAAAGCAAAGCCCCGACCUCGUCCUCCAAAACCUUCGCAUUUUCGAUAUCAGCCGUGAGGUCGAACCCACGAGCAUGUACCUCCUCAAGAGUCUCUCUUCAUGACUGGCAUCUAGCAUGCUCAGCAACACGGGAUAGUCUAACCUCACCAGCGUCAGAAAUUUCCUUUGCCCGAGUGUUAGCGGCUUCAGCGUCGGCUCGGUAGAAGGCCACGAGCGCCUCUACCUCAGAUGUGGCCCUUGUAAGUUCAACGGCCAACCGAGUCUCGAGCUCUUCGACUUUCUGGGCUCCAGCCAAACUCUCCCCCUUCAUACUUUGGAGUUGACUCUCAACCGAAGAUAGUUGGGCCGGAACCGCAUCUUUCUCCGAGGCGAGAUGGUCCAUGCUAUUCUUCCACCCCAAAAAUUCUGCCUCUUUUAUCUUGGCCUCCUCACGAAGCUGCUCAACCAAUUCUGCCUUCUUCUGAACCUGCAGGAUCAAAGCGUUAAUCGCCAAUAUCAAAUUGAUACAUAACAACAAAAAUUUACGUUACCCGUUCGAUGAGCUCGGUCUGAUCUUGAUGAGCUCUUGUCAGCUCGUCUCGAAUGCUCAUAAUCUCCUCUUCUUUUUACACAUAGAGGAGUUUGAGGGCGUCUCUCUCCUCCGUAAGCUUUUUGAGAUCAGCCUCAUAUCAGGCCAGCUCAACUCGGUAUUUGGAGAAAGCUUCUCGAUAGAGCGCCGUAGCUUGUACAGGAAGGAAGGGAAUCAGACUUAGAGAAAUAAGAAUAAACGCAAGCAUGGUAACAUGGGCAAAAACUCACCUGGUUCAGAAGUCGCUGAGCCUCAUAAAAACUGAGUGAUGCGUCAAGGUCAGAAAUAUCAUCGACCCCCGCGAAGCAGCCACGAAAAAUGUCAUCCCCUUCGGGGGCCGUCCCCACAUCGGGGGUCCCCAUGGAUCGGGCAACCCGAAACUGCCCCUCAGAAAACAUGGUGCCGGAUGGCAAAUCGUCGAUAUUAAUUGCCCCGAGCGAGUCACUUAGGGCAUUCUCUUCUCUUUGAAGGGCCUCAGAACUAGACCCUUCGGGCACACCCGCUGGUUGCUCAUCACGACAGGGGGCAUCAUCAAUACCCGAUGAUUCGGGGACUCUGCUCGGACCUUCCCCUGAGAUCACCUCGAUCUGCGGUUGAACCCUCUCGACCGUCACCGGCUCAGUAGCUUUCGAAGCUUCGAUGCUUCCCCUCUUCCGAGCCACCAGCAUGCAGUCGGUAUCUUCUCCCUCCCCGUCUUCAUCUCAUAGCUUUUGGACUACAUCGGCAGGCAGAACAGCAAGAUCAUUCCUCGACUUUCGAGCCCUAUUUUUCUUAGGCCUUGGGGUAUCUGGAGGCGAGGCCCUUCUCCUUUUAUUAUCUUUGGUCGGCUUCGAGACCUCAUCUUCCCCGAGGGGAGGCGGCCUCAUAACGAGACUAUCUCCAAGACCUGUAUUAGAAGAAAUCAAGUUAAAAGAAAGUAUUUCAUAGGAAAGCAUCAAACUCGGACAGGGGAACUUACCAUGAUUUUUGGCCUCCCAUCGACCCUUGGACAAAUCACGCCACGAGCGCUCAGCAUACGAAGAGGUCGAAACCAGUUGUCGAACUCAACCUACAAGGUCCGGGACCGCACCAGGAAACCAGGGGGAAGCUGAACCAUAAAGAAGAAUAUAGAUGAAAAGAGGUAAAGAAAAUAUAACAAGUGACCGAACGAUAUCGGUGAAGAUCUACUUACGCUUCAUGUUCCAUUCUUCGGGAAAUGGCAUAUUCUCGGCGGGGAUUAAAUCGAAGGUCCUGACUUGGGCAAACUGGCACAUCCAUCCUCGGUCCUUGUCCUCACCUAUGCUUGAGAAUAGCACCUUCGUGGCCCGACGCUGAAGCCUUAUCAGUCUGCCCCGAUAAAGAUGGGGGUUGUAUAGCCUAAUGAGAUGAUCGAGAGUGAAAGACAUCCCCUCGAUCUUGCUCGAGAAGAAUCUGAGCAAAUUGACGAUGCGCCAAAAAGAGGGGUAAAUCUAGCUUAGGGUUACCCGGUAUUGGCGGCUGAAGUCGAUUAUGACAGGAUCGACGGGGCCUAGUGUGAAAGGGUAAGUAUACACAAUUAAGAACCCUUUCACAUGAGUGGUGAUGUCCUCUUCGGUGGUAGGAAUCACCACCUCUUUAUUCUCCCAGUGGCAGUCCUUUUUCACCUGCUCGAGAUCACAUUCGGAUAUCGAACAGAUGUAUCUAAACAUGGGCUCGCAUCGGCCAGGAACCGAAGAGGGUUUUUCGACUAUAAAGUCGGACGUAAGUUCAUACUGCCCGAGAAUGCACUCUUUGAUACGUGGCUCUACUGGUGUUUUGUCACCGGACAGCCGCGAUGAGGAGGCUUUUUCUUCUUCUUGAAGAACGGUCUUUGAUGUUUUUGCCAUUGCUAUAUGAGGUUUAAGGGAGAAGAAGGCGAAAUUUGUGUUUUAAUAAGAGAUUGGUAAACGGAAACCGUUGAAAUUGAUAAACUUGAGGAAGAUAGAAGAAGAUUUUGAAGAUUAGAAAAAAAUUGAAAGUAAAGUUUGAGAAGAUUAUGAAGGUGGUUUAUUUAUAAUAGCCACUUUGACGGUUUGAAAGCACUAGUGGCCGACCAUCAACUGACGUUAAUUAAUGACUUUGGGAACUGUGCAGACGCGACGCUUCAGUCGCUUACGUCACGAUGUUGACAUCAUUAAAUCGAAGUCUCAAAUUCGUUUCUUCUCGUUACACUUCAAGAAACUAGGGGACUAUCUAUAUAUGGUCAAAACCGGGCCUACCCGAUUUUGCCGUUUGAUCGAGACAAGGGAGUUGCAUCGGGGGAUAACCUCGUAAUAAAUCGGACCAAGGCUCGAAGAUGAGACAUCAAGCCUAGAGAUCGAAGUGUAUGUUGAGACCGAGGCCAACAACAAUCGAGAUCAAGUAUUGAUCGACUUCAAGGGAAGCAUAAUAACGGAAUGGCGAGAUAUCGGUAACCGGUCAAGGAUCAUGGCGUGAAUCUCGGAACGGACCAAAUCAGAAGCGGAUAACUAGCUGUUUAUACGGUUUCCUUAUGUAAUGAGAGAUAUACCAUAAUUAGGUCUUCUCUACUAUAUAAAGAGGAGGUUCAAUCAUUUGUAGGCAUCAUUAUUCACUGAUAAGAAUAUACACAUACCCUGUACGCUGUUUUCUUUGUUCAUCACUAUUCAUCGUUAUUUGUUCUAUCCUAUAUUGUUCUUAUUAAUUAACCUCGAGGCUACUUCGAAUCGAGGUCGAGGCAUCGCUUGCAGACCGGUUUGUUUUGUUUUAUUGUCCAAGUUAUCUAUUUAAUUCGUUGUUUAUCAAUUGGUGCUGGUCUAAAUCACAUAUCCUUAAAAUCACAAUACAAGUUUAAUUGUUACUCAAUUUUUAGGGUAAACAUUCAUAAAUAGAGGAUUUCAUUUUGAUUUUAUGGGCGUUGAUAUUUUGAACAAUUAGUAUAGGGCCAAAAAGAAAUGGAAGAAAACGUUGUUAUAUUUCUAACAAUUAUUAAUUGUACUUUUGUUGAAAAACGAAAUGAAGAAUAAAGUAGUCCCAUUUUGAAUAGUUGAGGAUUAUUUUUGGCCAUUUUCCCUUCUAUUAAACUACACGAAUAAAGUAAAAACUAUUUAACAUGAUUAGUGUAUAUUAAAAUAUUUUGUCUAUAAAAGCAUGUUGAUGAUUUGCGAACCUUUCGUUGCUUGAUGAGUGCAAGAAAAUUGCCAUAUUUUUUUUACCGAACAAAGUCCAAGACAAAAUGAAAAUUAUUGUGACCACACUUUCUGAACUAGUAUAACAAAGUUACAUUAUACAUUAUUUUUCUCUGCAGAGCAGAGUUAUUAUCACAAAUAAAAAUCACAACUAUUCUCUUCUACCAUAAGAUGGGAGAAUCCUUGUCCACUCUCUCUUUUUAUUUAUUUAAAAAUUCAAACUAGCACUCAUAAAUGAAAAUACAAAAAGAAAAAGUAAGAACAAAAGGUAUAUUCUCCCUCCCGAAAAUAGUGNNNNN